rnacentral:pre_miRNA from 12 species
CUUUCCUGCCCUCGAGGAGCUCACAGUCUAGUAUGUCUCAGCCCUACUAGACUGAGGCUCCUUGAGGGCAGGGAUC